AAAUCUACUGCAAAAACCAUGAAAUUAUUUUUGCUGUCCUAUAAUUGCUAAAUUCACAUGUAGAUUGAAAAUUUGCUACUCUUCUGUUAACUUCUAUAUGAAGCAAAAAAAGCUUUAACACUUGAAUUAUCUAACAAACAUUUAAUUAGAAAGUACAGAUGCAGGUUCAAAACCGCAUCAGAAGGGCAUAAAUACCUCUAGGAUAUCCUUUAAU
rnacentral:misc_RNA from 1 species